rnacentral:rRNA from 1 species
UACGGAGGGUGCAAGCGUUAUCCGGAUUCACUGGGUUAAAGGGUGCGUAGGUGGGAAUGUAAGUCAGUGGUGAAAUCUCCGUGCUUAACACGGAACUGCCAUUGAUACUAUGUUCUUGAAUUAUCUGGAGGUCAGCGGAAUAUGUCAUGUAGCGGUGAAAUGCUUAGAGUAUGACAUAGAACACCAAUUGCGAAGGCAGCUGGCUACAGGUGGAUUGACACUGAGGCACGAAAGCGUGGGUAGCAAACAGG